CCGAGUUAGGGUGUCGCCUCGGCGCGCCCGACCUUCCCCAACCCUUUGUCUACCUUACCACAACGUUGCUUAGGCAGGCCCGCCGACCCCUAGAGUCCGCUCUGGGGCGAGGCCGCCGGGGGCUCUGUGCCGGGCCGCCGCGCCUGCCGAUUGGCCCCUCUUAAACUCAUGUCUAAACGUGUCGUCUGAGUAAUAAUUAUAAUGCAAACCA
rnacentral:misc_RNA from 1 species